rnacentral:rRNA from 1 species
AUGGUAGGAUAGAGGCUACCAUGGUUUCAACGGGUAACGGGGAAUAAGGGUUCGAUUCCGGAGAGGGAGCCUGAGAAACGGCUACCACAUCCAAGGAAGGCAGCAGGCGCCAGCAAAAUUACCCAAUCCCGACAUCGCGGAGGUAGUGACAAUAAAUAACAAUAUAGGGCUCUUCGGGUCUUAUGAUUGGAAUGAGUACAAUUUAAAUCCCUUAACGAGGAACAAUUGGAGGGCAAGUCUGGUGCCAGCAGCCGCG